AUAGCAAGAAGAAAUAAGAAAGCCUUCCUCAGCGAUCAAUGCAAAGAAAUAGAAGAAAGCAACAGAAUGGGAAAGACUAGAGAUCUCUUCAAGAAAAUUGGAGAUACCAAGGGAACAUUUCAUGCUCACUUGGCAACCAGCAUCUGUAAGCUGCCAGCCUUUCCCCUAGGUUCCUGUCUCCAGAGGCGGAGGCUGGAGCCACUCUGAUCCUCCCAGCACAGGGAGCCCCUGGUAGCAGGAGGGCAAGAGCUGUGAAGCUCCUGGGGCAACCAGCGUCUACUCAGGCAGCCCUGGAGGCCGCAGAGGGUGGGGGGCUGAGGUGGAGAUGAGAGACCAGAGCAGCAGGGGCCUAAGAACCCUCAGCAUCUUCCUUUCAGGCAGCUGCUAUAAAGGACAUGUUUUUCCUUCCUCUCCUCCUCAUACAGUAUUUCAGAGCUCCCGACGCUACCUCCUCUCUGGCCAUAUCCAGCCCCUCUCCAUGCCCUGGUGCCAGGGAAAGGUAUGAGCCAGCAGCAUUACCAUCUGGGCACUGAAGCUUUCUGAGGUGAAACCUGGGACGCUGCUUUCCACAGCAUCUUUUCCUGCCUGUUGAUGUGAUGGAUUGUAUUACUUGAUUUUCAUCUUGCUGCUGGACUGGUUGUUGCCAUCUCUCCCAUCACAACCUCUGCUGCGGCUGCUCUGCUGCCACCUCCUUUGCUCUGUCACCUGCUCCAUGGUCCAGUCUACCCACUUUUGGGUGCACAGGUGGAUGGAUUGCUCAGAUGUUCUGUGGAACUUCGCAAGGCCAGUGUGUUGACUUCUGACCAGCCUCAUCCGAAACCACACCCUUUUACACAUACAUAACCACUCUGAGGUACUGGGCCUCCAGCUUACUCUAGGAGGACAGAGGGCAGAUUAAGUUUGUUUGACAUAACUAGAAGGGGCUGAGCCUCAUCCCAGAAGAGCGAAGUCCAUUCAUGGUAACUACCAUCACCCACCAUUUCUAGGAUAGCAUUUGCUUCUGGUUGCUGAGACAUUGUUUCUUUCAGCAGAAGAAAAUGAGUGGGUUGGUGAUCCAAUACUUCUAUCUCCAAAGAAACAUGGGUGGGUGAUAAAAUCUCAGGGGUUCCCUGAGGUGAGAUUGCUGCUUGCUUUGGCCAUUUCAGAGCUACGUUUACUCUGAAAGAUACUAGCAAAGGUACUGAUGUUUGUGUUUCCUUAGUGGUAUUCAUGCCUCCACAUCAGAGGGAGUGUUCUGGGUGGGGCCCAGGGAUUCUGAGUGAAGGUGAGAAUAGAAGUAGCUUCCUAAAAGUGUAUGGUGUUGUCCCAUUAGACUGUGGUCUGACCAUAAGCACCCAGCCAGUCUGAAUGGUGGCAGGAACAUAAAUAUCCAGAAGCACAGGUAUGGUGCUGCCUUCUCCCAUCAUAUAACCUGUGCUCUGAACUAUGUGCCCCAAGUACUCUUGACAGUAGCCCUUCCAAUCACAGAUAUGAUGCUGGCCCAUCAGACAGCAAAAAGUGUGCUGUGUCCAGAUGGGCAUGAGGUGACUGGUGGAAGGCAGGAACAGCAGUGUCUUCUGGCAUAGGCUUCUCCUGGAGUAACAGAUUUGCUCUGACUGGGUGGGCCCAAGUAUUCAGAUCAGAUGCAAAAAGAGAAGAUGCUAAACACUGGGAUAGUGUUGGCCCUUCCUGUUGCAAAACAUGUGCUCUGUCCAGGUGGGACCCAGGAGUUCUCACUGUAGGUAGGGACAUAAAGACCUCUAAGCAUAGGUGAGGUGCUCACCCUUUCGAUGGCUAUAGACUAUAGGCACAAAAAGAAGUGUCUCCAGCACAGUUAUGGUUCUAUAUCCUUAUCUGCAACAGAUGUACCCUGGCUGGAUGGGUCCCAGGCAAUCUGAACACAUGGAAAGACAGAAGUGUCUUCUGGCACAUGUUCCUUCUCAGUGAUGCUAUCUUAUCCUGUGGUAGCAGGUGGCUGGGGCUGACUCUAGGUGUUCUUAUUGUAGGCAGGAAGGAAAGUGUCUCCCAAGACAGAUUUGCUCUCAGUAGUGCUGGCUUCUCCAAUUGUAACAGGAGUGUAGUAGGCUGACAGGACCCUGGUGCUCAGGUCUAAGCCUUCUUCCCCCAAAUUAGCUGUGGUUCUAGGUGUCCCACUUGGCCUUGCUCCAAAACUGAGUGUCUCAGACAUGGAACUGGGGCCUGGGACAUACACAAUGACCCCAAAGCUGCCACUACCCAUAGGUGCCGAAAAUCCCUUAAAUGCAAAUGGGUCUCAAGGGAUGUUGGCAAAAAGUGAGCCACAGUCCUCAGUACUGUGCAUUCUGGUGGCAGCUCCAGAGCAAGAAAGAAUGAAAUGAGGUGAAGUGCCACCAAAGGCUGGCUUGGUGCCCACAGGGAUGCCAGAGUUGGAACACGGGGUGUCAAACUCCCCAAAGCUGAGUUGUGCUACUUUGGGGUUCCAGGGAUGCAGUAGACACUAAGUGGGAGGAUUAACUGGGGCAGCCAGGUUUCCUAAAGAGACAGAGCUCUUAAAGCUGUCAAGAGGAGGCAAGAAGAUAAUAGACUGGGAAUUGGUUAUGGUAUCCACAUCAAUUUAAUCAGAGUCAAAGACAGGCUUGGAUGCCGUGUCUGAAGAGGUGCUGGUUAUUGGAUUGAGGUGACUGUAGAAUCAGUGGUAGGUGAGCCAGAAAAGACAAGGGACACUGGGGAGAGUGGCCCCUUCUGCUGCCCAUAUAGAUCCCCAGCUAAACAAUGGUUCCUGCCCCAAAGGGAAGGUUGAAAGUUCAGGUAGGGAUGCAGACCAUAAAAGCAGGUGGGCAAGUGGUGACUGGCCUUUGCAGGGCAUAUCUGCUCCAUACUGGGAUAGACCUGGUAAAAUGCCAGGGAGCUCACACAGGAUCCUGAUGGGACCUGAAAAUGAAA